UUGUUUUUUAUUAUAAAAAUUUUUAUUUUCUUAAAAAAUUUUAGGUAGAAUUCAGAAUUUUUUUUUUAUUAUUUUUUAUAAUAUUAAGAUUUGUUGAACGAACUAGAUUAGUCCCUAGUUAGACAAAAAUUAAAAUUACAGGAGUAAAGUUGUAUUUAAACUGAAAGGAUUUUGGCAGGUUUACUAAAUUAUCUUUGGAGGUUGGGUCUUAAUUGAGAACCCCCAUUAUCUACUUAUUUUUUAGACUCAUGUAUGAUCGUUUAUUUUAUUUUUGAGAAUUAUAAUUAAAAAUAUUCUUUAUAAAAAUAGAUAUAUACCUGGUUUAUGAACAAAGUAAAAUCUGACCUACAAUAAUUUAUUUUGUGGAUAGAAAAAUUAGGUUUUUCUUGAAAAUGUAAAAGAUAGUAAAAGAUUUUUAAUAUAUCUUUGAAGGGUAUCUA
rnacentral:rRNA from 1 species